CCUUUAACUCCCUUCCCUAUUUGCACGUUCCUUUCUUGCUUCCCAUUUUCUUCUUCCUUCAUCUUUUCCUUUUCCUUUUUCGUGCUCUUUCAUUUAAUUUCCUACCCAAAAUUGCUCCACGUGAAAUUAGCACUUGAUUUUGCUACCUUAUUGUUGCCGUUUUAUUACUUUGAUCAAUUGAUUCUUGGGGCUUGGGUGUUGCGUUCUGGUAUUGUGGGGCUUGGUUCUACUCUCUUUUGCAAUAGUAAUUCUCUAAGUGUUCAUAAGUAAAAGUUUUCUGUGGAAUUGGUAGGAGUUUUUUUAAUGUUUUAUUACUCUGUUUGAAGUGUAAGUUGACUCCAUGUGUUAUUGUUGCAAAGUGAUAUUCAAGAAAUCUGAGAUUCUCCUGUUGCGAAUUAGUUGUUUAGGGGCUACCGUGGAUGUAGGUACUGUUUACUCCAUAGGUGCAGUUGUAACAAAAUCGAAUCAAGUGUGUAACGAGAAAUUCGAAAAAUAGCAAACGACAAAAGUCGAAAUUGGGGCCUGUCGACGCCACACGGUUGUAUGCGACACACGACCUUGUGAUAGGUCGUGUGAAACACACAGUCUAGGCCAUUUUGGACCGUAUGCCAGGUAGUGUGGGCCAUACGGGCAAGCAAUUUAGGUCGUGUGGGCUACAUGGGCAUAUGGGCCCAAAAUUUAAAAUUUUUUCCUAGGGCCAUACACGUCGUCCUGAUUGACCGUGAGCCUUCUGUGGGGUUGGUAUGUGAUUAUAUAAGUUGUUAAGCAUGAAUUCUGUUAAUCUGUUAGUAUGAAACUUGACGUAAAUAAUGUUUAAUAUGUGUGAUUUGUUAUGUAAUAAGUAUGUUCUGCAUCUGUUAUACAAGCAUGUAUGAUAUGUAAAUUCUGGCA